rnacentral:rRNA from 1 species
AGCGAACGCUGGCGGCAGGCCUAACACAUGCAAGUCGAACGAACUCUUCGGAGUUAGUGGCGGACGGGUGAGUAACCCGUGGGAACGUGCCUUUUGGUUCGGAAUAACUCAGGGAAACUUGUGCUAAUACCGAAUGUGCCCUUCGGGGGAAAGAUUUAUCGCCAUUAGAGCGGCCCGCGUCUGAUUAGCUAGUUGGGGAGGUAACGGCUCACCAAGGCGACGAUCAGUAGCUGGUUUGAGAGGCUGACCAGCCACACUGGGACUGAGACACGGCCCAGACUCCUACGGGAGGCAGCAGUGGGGAAUCUUGCGCAAUGGGCGAAAGCAUGACGCAGCCAUGCCGCGUGAAUGAUGAAGGUCUUAGGAUUGUAAAAUUCUUUCACCGGGGACGAUAAUGACGGUACCCGGAGAAGAAGCCCCGGCUAACUUCGUG